rnacentral:rRNA from 1 species
CAUGUAGGCGGCCUAUUAAGUCGGGCGUGAAAAUGCGGGGCUCAACCCCGUAUGGCGCCCGAUACUGGUGGGCUUGAGUGCAGGAGAGGAAAGGGGAAUUCCCAGUGUAGCGGUGAAAUGCGUAGAUAUUGGGAGGAACACCAGUGGCGAAGGCGCCUUUCUGGACUGUGUCUGACGCUGAGAUGCGAAAGCCAGGGGGAGCGAACG